rnacentral:rRNA from 1 species
UACGGAGGGGGCUAGCGUUGUUCGGAAUUACUGGGCGUAAAGCGCGCGUAGGCGGACUGGAAAGUUGGGGGUGAAAUCCCGGGGCUCAACCCCGGAACUGCCUCCAAAACUAUCAGUCUGGAGUUCGAGAGAGGUGAGUGGAAUUGCGAGUGUAGAGGUGAAAUUCGUAGAUAUUCGCAGGAACACCAGUGGCGAAGGCGGCUCACUGGCUCGAUACUGACGCUGAGGUGCGAAAGUGUGGGGAGCAAACAGGAUUAGAUACCCCCGUAGUCC